rnacentral:misc_RNA from 1 species
GCAGCUAGUUCAGCACCCUGUGGUAACCAGUUAUCAGGAAAAUAUCUUCAAUAGGAAGUGCGGAUGAAGAGCAGUUGGGAUAAUAUGAUUCAAGAAAGUGAAAUUCUCAACCAACAGAAAAGGAAAUCUAGGCUGUAGGGAACAUAUUUAAAGCAGUUAGGCUGUGUAUGAUAGACAAUCCUCUCGUACUAACACUGUUUUGAUACAUAUUCGUAUGGUAAUCAGAGAUCUAUUUGGGAUAUGGCAUUUGUAACGUGAAAAUCAACAUAAGUCUCAAGAUGACUGAACAGGUGAUGGCAACAUUAGAUAGGUGAAUUGCAUGGCCCAAUAUAAUUUCUGCAGUUAUCAAUAACUUUAAGAAAGCCUCGUGAAGUAUGUUUCCCGAAGAGAAAUUUAUUGUUUUAUGAAUCAGGAAAAAUAUAUCUGGCCCUUCUAAAAUAACCAAUUCUGAAAUGUUUAUUACCAGAACUUAGGCGGUUAUAUGAAUCUAGGCUAGCAAGAAGGCAAUGAA